UGUGCAGCAUAGAGGAACCCAGA
rnacentral:miRNA from 1 species